rnacentral:rRNA from 1 species
GAUGAACGCUAGCUACAGGCUUAACACAUGCAAGUCGAGGGACCGGCGCACGGGUGAGUAACACGUAUCCAACCUGCCCUUUACUCGGGGAUAGCCUUUCGAAAGAAAGAUUAAUACCCGAUAUAAAGGAUGGGGAUGCGUUCCAUUAGGUGGUUGGUGAGGUCACGGCUCACCAAGCAUUCGCUGGAUAGGGGUUCUGCGAGGAAGGUCGCCCACAUUGGUACUGAGACACGGUCCAAGCGCCUACGGGAGGCAGCAGUGAGGAAUAGUGGGCAAUGGGCGCUAGCCUGAACCAGCCAAGUAGCGUUAAGGAUGAAGGCUUAUGGGUCGUAAACUUCUUUUAUAGAAUAAUAUGGAUUAUAUGAAUAAGGAUCGGCUAACUCCGUGCCAGCAGCCGCGGUAAUA